AAUGAACGUUGGCGGCAUGGAUUAGGCAUGCAAGUCGAGCGGAAAGGCUUCUUCGGAAGUACUCGAGCGGCGUAAGGGAGAGUAACGCGUGGAUUACUUGCCUCAAGACCCGGGAUAGCCACGGGAAACUGUGGGUAAUACCGGAUAAUAUCUUCGGAUCAAAGGUGUGAUUCCGUCUUGAGAGAGGUCCGCGUCCUACUAGCUUGUUGGUGAGGUAACGGCUCACCAAGGCCACGAUGGGUAGCGGGUGUGAGAGCAUGACCCGUCUCACUGGGACUGAGACACUGCCCAGACACCUACGGGUGGCUGCAGUCGAGAAUCUUCGGCAAUGGUCGCAAGACUGACCGAGCGAUGCCGCGUGCGGGAUGAAGGCCCUCGGGUUGUAAACCGCUUUCGAGAAGGAGGAAAUGCAUUUAGGGCUAUCCCUAGUGUUUGACCUAUUUCUUAAAGAGGACAGGCUAAGUUCGUGCCAGCCGCCGCGGUAAU
rnacentral:rRNA from 1 species